CAAGUUACGUAGCUCAGGCUGUGGUGACAUAUCUUAACUGUUGCUUCUCGCGGGGGGACGACAACCCCCCUCGGGGGGCGGUCCCCCUCCUGGCCGCGCUCUCACGGGCGUGGGGCCCGCCGGAGGAUACCAAAACUCUAUUUUAACGACGUUUCUUCAGAUUGGCACGAGCAAAUAAUUAAAACUUUUAACAUGGGAUCUCUUGGUUCUGGCAAUUUGAAGAACGCACCGAAAUGCAAUAAUUAAUGUGAAUUGGAGAAAUCGAAGCAUCGACGAUUCUUUGAACCCACAUUGCGCCCGGCAGGCUUGCGGGGGGGAUGGUUGUUCGAACGUCAUUUCAACCCAGGAGCCCAUCUUGGUGCUGGGGCCCUAUGGUCGACAUAGGCCCUUCAAAGUAGUGGCGGACCUGCCCGGAGUCGCCUUUGCCUCCUAACUUAACGUCUUUUGCUGGGAUCUGGAGGGACUCUUGCCGUAAAACCCCCAGAACUUUCCAGGAUGACGGGAGAAACGGAAAGAAUACCCGCUCAACUUAAGCAUAUCAAAGGGACAAAAAAAAUCUAUCUGAUCACAAAACUGGAAGGACUACCCGCUGAACUUUAGCAUA
rnacentral:rRNA from 1 species